ensembl:lncRNA
CCCCCCCCCCCCCCCCCCCCCCCCCCCCCCCCCCCCCCCCCCCCCCCCCCCCCCCCCCCCCCCCCGGUGCCCGGCCCGGCCGCACGGAGGGAGCCUGUCAAUCCCCCGGGCUGCGCGCCCCCCCGCGCCAGCCACUCGCACCUGAGCAGUCCCUACUUCCGUACCAGUACCUAAUGGAGGGACGGGGGAGAUCCAGAAGAUGGAGGCAGGCUUUUCUCCGUGGUUCGCGAGCAGUAGGACAAGAGGCAGUGGGCACAAACUGAUGCACUGGAAGCUCCACCUGAACACGAGGAAGAACUUCUUGGCUGUGCGGGUGACCAAGCACUGCCACGGAUUGUCUAGAGAGGUUGUGAAGUGUCCCCCACUGGAGAUGCUCAAGAACUGUCUGGACACGAUCCUGUGCGGUGUUCUCUAGGAUGACUGCUCGAGCAGGGAGGCUGGACCACACAACCCGCUGUCUUCCCUUCCGACCUGACCGAUUCUGUAAUUCUGCAAUACCUUCGUGGGGUGCUUCCCCCCAGCCCAAUCUUUAUACACAGUUUGUUGUGGCAGAACUAGAACCCAUGGGCUAUGAUCACAAAACAUAUGCUUAUUGGGAAGAAGCUUCCUACCUCUCUUAGAAGUUUCUCCAGGUAUCUAGCAUGGAUGAGAAGAGCAUAAGAAGAAUGCAGAACUUUAUCAGUGCACUGGCAACAGGUAAACUGGUUCCAAGUUUAGGAUUUAUUUCUAUGGAGAACAACUUUACCUUUAGAAAACCUAACUCUAGUGUACAAAUGGAGUUGCAGACCUUUGCUGAUCUUAUUUACAUAACAAUUCUCACCAGCAGGAAUGUGCCCCAGCUUUAUUUGUUUUCAAACACAAUACUGUGUGCAAAAAUGAAUUAUUUAUCCAUUGAUUUUUUUAUGAAGAGUUAAUACAAUGAUUCAUUAUUCUUUUGGUUUCCCAAAAAUUUUAACACUUCAAGUAGAAUCUUUAACAAGCAUACAAAAUUAUUCCAAACAAUUUACAUUUAAUUUAACCAGAGCAAAUAUAAAUUUGAAAGUAAGGUGAUGGCAAAUUACAGAGCCAUCAAGUAAAAGCUUGAUGGGGAGUCAGGCAUGCAUCUCUGAAAAUUGCAGCAACAGUAAUACUGUCUUGUGGAGCAGAACGGGUUCCACCAAAAUUAAGUCUCUAAGUAUGACCAAGUGACCCACCUAGCAGAUGAGAGAAAGGCUGUGUAUGUUUGUCUACCUGGACUUCAGUAAAGCCUUUGAUACUCUCACCCACAGCUUCUUCCUGGAGAAACUGGCUACUCAUGACUUAAGACUAGUUUGCUGGUUAAAAACUGGAUAGAUAGCUGGGCUGUGGGUGUUGGUGAAUGGAGUUAUCUGGCUGACAGUCACUACUGCAGUUUACUAGGGCUCACUGCUGGGACUGGUCCUAUUUAAUAUCUUUAUCAAUUAUUUGGAUAAGGUGAUCAAGUACCACCUCAAUUUGCAGACGACACCAAGUUGGGUGGGAGAGUUGAUCUGCUGGAAGGCCCUGCAGAAGGAUCUGGACAGGCUGAAUCAAUGAGCUGGGGCCAGUGGUAUGCAGUGCAAUAAGGUCAGGUGCUGACUCCCACCCUUGGGUCACAAGAACCCCUUUCCCUGCUACAGGCUUGGGGCAGGGAGACUGAAAAGCUGCUCAGCCAAAAAAGACCUAGGGGUCAACAGCAGAUCCUGACCUGGGACAUUGUGCAUUGUGGAGUGUGUCCAGAGAAGGGCAGUGGAGCUGUGAUGAAGGGCCUGGUGCACAAAUCUUACAAGAACCAGCUGAGAGAGCUGGAGGUGUUUAGCCUGGAGAAAAAGGAGAGAAUGAUGUUCAGGAGUGACCUUAUCCCUCUCUUACAGCUACCUAAGAGUGUAGCAGGCAAGGGUCGGCCUCUUCUCCCAGGAAAUUAGAAACUGGAGAAGAACACAUAGCCUCAAUAUGUGCUAGCACAGGUUCAGGUUGGACAUGAGAAAGAAUUUUGUCACUGAAAGACUGGCUAAGCAUUGGAACAAGCUAACCAGGAGGUGGUGGUGUCACCAUCCCAGGAAGUCUUCAAUAAAUGACUAGACAUGCAACUUAGUGCUAUGGUUCAGUUGGCAUGAUGGUGUUUCAUCAAAGGUUCGACUUACAGAUCUUUUCCAACUUUAAUAACUUUAUGAUUUUAGAAAAUUCAGUCUUAGGAAUAUACCUUUUUAAUGGGACAAUCCAUGGACUUAGAGAAGGUAGCAAAUAUAUACCAAUCUACACACAGUGUGGAAAGGCAAGGACAUCAGAGGUGUCAUAAGCGAAAACAAGAAGCUUGUAAGUCUACAUAAAUCAUGUUGUGUUCAUUUAAUAUUGUUGACAAGGCAAUACAAGUAACAAACUGAGUCACAGAUUACUGGCAUUUACGCAGAGUCACAAGUUUUCAGACAAAGACAGGCUUCUCAGUUCUGCAUCUUUACAGGCUACUAAAAAAGUAUUUAC